GGGCUCGUAGCGUAGCAUGGAAAACGCGCCAGCCUUCGGAGCUGGAGAUCGGGGGUUCAAGUCCCCCCGAGCCCGCCA
rnacentral:tRNA from 1 species